GGUUGAUCAAAAGCAAAAAUGUGCAGGAAAUGAACGUUGCCAGAACAAUCUUGGCCUGCUUGCAGUCACUUCAAACUGUUCUUCAAAGAUAAACCAGAGUCCAGAGACUAGAAAAUUCAAAUCAAAACACAAGAUGAAGCGUUCAGCAAUGGCUUCAAGAGAUGCUCUAAUUGGAUUCUUUAAUGAUUGUUUCUUUAAAUAAAAUUCUUUUAUUACAGAAGUGCUC
rnacentral:misc_RNA from 1 species